GUUCAGUAUUAAGCGACUUUAUUUUAAUUACUUAAACAAGCUAAUUUACAAAUUUAAUUUUUAAACGUAAACGGAUCAUUUAUAGUUAAGAGGUAGAAGAAUAUUUACCUGGAAGCUAAUGUUUCUCCGGGUAAUGUAAUUACUGGAGUUCCGGUCCAUAAGACGUCCAUUGAUGUUGUGUGACCAUUGCAUAGUGGAGUGUCUAGACAAAUGUCAGCCAAUUGCCCACGACGUACGUGCUCUUCUUUGGCAGCAA